UACGGAGGGUGCAAGCGUUAAUCGGAAUUACUGGGCGUAAAGGGCGCGUAGGUGGCUUGGUAAGUCGGAUGUGAAAGCCCCGGGCUUAACCUGGGAACUGCAUUCGAUACUGCCUCGCUCGAGUACGGUAGAGGAGAGUGGAAUUCCCGGUGUAGCGGUGAAAUGCGUAGAUAUCGGGAGGAACAUCAGUGGCGAAGGCGGCUCUCUGGACCGAUACUGACACUGAGGCGCGAAAGCGUGGGGAGCAAACAGGAUUAGAAACCCCGGUAGUCC
rnacentral:rRNA from 1 species